UACGGGGGAUGCAAGCGUUAUCCGGAUUUAUUGGGUUUAGAGGGUGCGUAGGCUGUGAGGUAAGUCAGCGGUGAAAUGCCCCCGCUCAACGGGGUGAAGUGCCAUUGAUACUGCCUUGCUGGAAUGCGGAUGCCGUGGGAGGAAUGUGUGGUGUAGCGGUGAAAUGCAUAGAUAUCACACAGAACACCGAUUGCGAAGGCAUCUCACGAAUCCGCUAUUGACGCUGAUGCACGAAAGCGUGGGUAUCAAACAGG
rnacentral:rRNA from 1 species